ensembl:lncRNA
AUGGGGGGUAUGGGGAUAGGUGAGCUGUUGAGAAGCCUUAUUGCAUGUGGAUAGAAGCUCUUUGCCAUUCUGGAGGUGCGUGCUUUGAAGGAUCUGAACCUUUUCCCUGGCGGAAGUAACUGGAACAGGUGAUGGGCAGGGUGGGAAGAGUCAGUGAGGAUGUGAUGUGAUGUGAACGCUGCAGGGUGGGAAGAGUCAGUGAGGAUGUGAUGUGAUGUGAUGUGAACGCUGUAGGGUGGGAAGAGUCAGUGAGGAUGUGAUGUGAUGUGAUGUGAACGCUGUAGGGUGGGAAGAAUCAGUGAGGAUGAGAUGUGAUGUGAACGCUGCAGGGUGGGAAGAGUCAGUGAGGAUGUGAACGCUGCAGGGUGGGAAGAGUCAGUGAGGAUGUGAUGUGAACGCUGCAGGGGUGGAAGAGUCAGUGAGGAUGUGAUGUGAUGUGAACGCUGCAGGGUGGGAAGAGUCAGUGAGGAUGUGAUGUGAUGUGAUGUGAACGCUGCAGGGUGGGAAGAGUCAGUGAGGAUGUGAUGUGAUGUGAUGUGAACACUGCAGGGUGGGAGGAGUCAGUGAGGAUGUGAUGUGAUGUGAACGCUGCAGGGUGGGAAGAGUCAGUGAGGAUGUGAACGCUGCAGGGUGGGAAGAGUCAGUGAGGAUGUGAACGCUGCAGGGUGGGAGAAGUCAGUGAGGAUGUGAUGUGAUGUGAUGUGAACGCUGCAGGGUGGGAAGAGUCAGUGAGGAUGUGAUGCGAUGUGAACGCUGUAGGGUGGGAAGAGUCAGUGAG